rnacentral:rRNA from 1 species
UACGUAGGGUGCAAGCGUUGUCCGGAAUUAUUGGGCGUAAAGAGCUCGUAGGCGGUCUGUCGCGUCUGCUGUGAAAACUCAGGGCUUAACCCUGAGCUUGCAGUGGGUACGGGCAGACUAGAGUGCGGUAGGGGAGACUGGAAUUCCUGGUGUAGCGGUGAAAUGCGCAGAUAUCGGGAGGAACACCGGUGGCGAAGGCGGCCCCCUGGUUGGAUACUGACGCUGAGACGCGAAAGCGUGGGGAGCAAACAGG